UACAGAGGUCCCAAGCGUUGUUCGGAUUCAUUGGGCGUAAAGGGUGCGUAGGCGGCGCGGUAAGUCGGGUGUGAAAUCUCGGGGCUUAACUCCGAAACUGCAUUCGAUACUGCCGUGCUUGAGGACUGGAGAGGAGACUGGAAUUUACGGUGUAGCGGUGAAAUGCGUAGAUAUCGUAAGGAAGACCAGUGGCGAAGGCGGGUCUCUGGACAGUUCCUGACGCUGAGGCACGCAGGCCAGGGGAGCAAACGGG
rnacentral:rRNA from 1 species